rnacentral:rRNA from 1 species
UUGCACAGCCCAAUCUUUUCAUAACUUAGUGGCGGACGGGUGAGUAACACGUGGGUAACCUACCUUUCAGAGGGGGACAACAGUUGGAAACGACUGCUAAUACCGCAUAAUGUAUUCUGACCGCAUGAUCGGAAUACCAAAGAUUUAUUGCUGAAAGAUGGCCUCGCGUCUGAUUAGAUAGUUGGUGAGGUAACGGCUCACCAAGUCGACGAUCAGUAGCCGGACUGAGAGGUUGAACGGCCACAUUGGGACUGAGAUACGGCCCAGACUCC